rnacentral:rRNA from 1 species
AGUCGAACGAUGAUCCCUAGCUUGCUGGGGGGAUUAGUGGCGAACGGGUGAGUAACACGUGAGUAACCUGCCCUUGACUCUGGGAUAAGCCUGGGAAACUGGGUCUAAUACUGGAUAUGACUGACUAUCGCAUGGUGGUUGGUGGAAAGCUUUUGUGGUUUUGGAUGGACUCGCGGCCUAUCAGCUUGUUGGUGGGGUAAUGGCCUACCAAGGCGACGACGGGUAGCCGGCCUGAGAGGGUGGACGGCCACACUGGGACUGAGACACGGCCCAGACUCCUACGGGAGGCAGCAGUGGGGAAUAUUGCACAAUGGGCGCAAGCCUGAUGCAGCGACGCCGCGUGAGGGAUGAAGGCCUUCGGGUUGUAAACCUCUUUCAGUAGGGAAGAAGCGAAAGUGACGGUACCUGCAGAAGAAGCGCCGGCUAACUACGUGCCAGCAGCCGCGGUAAUACGUAGGGCGCAAGCGUUAUCCGGAAUUAUUGGGCGUAAAGAGCUCGUAGGCGGUUUGUCGCGUCUGCCGUGAAAGUCCGGGGCUUAACUCCGGAUCUGCGGUGGGUACGGGCAGACUUGAGUGAUGUAGGGGAGACUGGAAUUCCUGGUGUAGCGGUGAAAUGCGCAGAUAUCAGGAGGAACACCGAUGGCGAAGGCAGGUCUCUGGGCAUUAACUGACGCUGAGGAGCGAAAGCAUGGGGAGCGAACAGGAUUAGAUACCCUGGUAGUCCAUGCCGUAAACGUUGGGCACUAGGUGUGGGGGACAUUCCACGUUUUCCGCGCCGUAGCUAACGCAUUAAGUGCCCCGCCUGGGGAGUACGGCCGCAAGGCUAAAACUCAAAGGAAUUGACGGGGGCCCGCACAAGCGGCGGAGCAUGCGGAUUAAUUCGAUGCAACGCGAAGAAUCUUACCAAGGCUUGACAUGAACCGGAACGGCGCAGAGAUGUGUCGGCCACUUGUGGCCGGUUUACAGGUGGUGCAUGGUUGUCGUCAGCUCGUGUCGUGAGAUGUUGGGUUAAGUCCCGCAACGAGCG